UACGUAGGUGGCAAGCGUUGUCCGGAUUUACUGGGCGUAAAGGGUGCGCAGGCGGUCUCGUAAGCUGGGUGUGAAAGCCCCGGGCUUAACCUGGGAAUGGCAUUCAGGACUGCGAGGCUUUGAGUGUGGCAGAGGGAGGUGGAAUUCCACGUGUAGCAGUGAAAUGCGUAGAGAUGUGGAGGAACACCGAUGGCGAAGGCAGCCUCCUGGGCCAGCACUGACGCUCAUGCACGAAAGCGUGGGGAGCAAACAGG
rnacentral:rRNA from 1 species